AGAACUACGUCACACGGGGGCGGAGCGGCCGCCAUUCCGCUGCGCAUUUUGCGUUGUGAAGCGAAACGGUUCGGCUCGUCAGCAGCGAGAGGAGGAGAACAGCCUCAUCUCCGCUGCCUUCGUCAUGGCGUCGUUACUUGACGCUGUCGUGCUCCGUGAGGAACCCCCCGACCCGUCUGAGGCUGGCAGUGCUGCGGCAGCCACUGCCUGGUCUGAGACCUGCAUCCCUUCACAGCCGGACAGGCUGUCUGCUCAGCGUGAUACAGCUGACAAGUGGACGAAAGCAGCAGAUGGGGCUUAGUGGAAAGCAUGCACAGCUGCAGGGGAGCCCCCCGGGUGUAGCUCCCUCAAGCAUGGACGCCAUGCAGGCUCUGCUGCCCCCUGCCUGUCACCACGGAUCAAGAAGGUUCCAACAGUCAAUGAAGCUUCUCACCUGUGUCUGAUCACUCUUGUGCCUGCAGGCUGUAGCAGUCAGUCAGCACAGCAGCAAAAUAGUGCAGCUGACUCAGAAAGAGAUGAUGGAGACCAAACUUUUCCAUGUUCCUGUGAUGUGAAAAUCUCAACGGUGGUUUCCUGUUGAUAGAGGUGACGGAAUCCUCACCCACAGUGGCAGUGCCCUCAGCAAGGGGCGGAGUUCAGAGCCCAGCCCACAUGGACCUCGGCCUUCACAACAGGACAACUGGACAGAAGGCGCUCCUUGUGAUCCUGCUAACAUCUCCACCACUUGCCCCUGUUCCUCAGACAGCGGCCGCACACAGUCCUGGUGCAGUGCCGGUAUUUUGCCUCUACCACUGGAUACAAGUCCCAACCAAUGCAAGAACCCCCCGCUGCCACUCUCCAGCUGUCAUGGCAGGUAAGGCAGCAGGCUCCUGCUCCUCUACUGCAGCCCUCCAAGUGAUCCCAGUGCCCCAGAUCUCACCCCAGUGCCUAUUUGGCCAUUUCCCCACACACAAAGCUCAUCCCUGUGGCUGACGGUGCUUCUGACACCCGACGCCACUUUACCUGGAUCAUUUCUACCACCACUGGCCACUGCUGCAAUGCAGCCACUGUGGGCAGAGCAGUGCUGGUGUCGCUGCAACCCCUCCCUGUCCCCAGUGUCACCUCUAUGUGGGGCCUCAGGCCUGUGCCCAGCCUGGGCUAUGAGGUGUCCAGGGAGCACAGCUCCCACCUGGGGGGCUGCCCCAAACUGUGAUCCAGCUGCAACAUUAGCAGCUCUUUCCCAGGGGAUGCAGCCAGGAAUGCCUCCCCCCAGAGCCCCUGCAAUGAUCAGUGCUGCAAUGAUGCCCGUGAACGAACAUAUGGAGAAGACAGACUGAGCAUCUUCAGUGCACCGUCUCUGCACCAUUCCCUGCAUCACCUGCUCCUCAGUUGCGCCGUUAUGCAGUGAUAGAUAUGGAUUGUAGUGUGUAAUGGGAGAAUCCCUGUGGUGUCAUCUCACAAGGAUGGUGUCCUUGUGAGAGACAUCCUCAUGUACUGAGUGUAAGGCGCUAUAGCUGUGUUUGUUCCUGAGCUGCUGGUGAUAAUUGUGUCCUGCAUUUGCAUCUGGUGGUGGAGGCAGAAACGCCAUUGAGUUGCUCCCCCAUCUCAGCACACUAUUCCAGCGCUGCUCUGGGAGGAAGAAGAUCGGGGGAUUCUUCCAUUGCCCUCAGCAGCUCCCAUCUCUGCAGGUGCCUCAUGGAAUCAGCCAAAGCCCACAGUGCUGCCCACCAAUAGAUGGACUCAGCCCCACUGGAUGACUCUGGCUGACAGUCGGAGCUUCUGUUGUUGCAGAGCUCUGCUGAGAUCGCCUGCGGGGCAUGAGGUGAAGCACUGACCACAGUUGUUCCUUCAGGUGCAGGUGAUAAAGAAGCCACCAAUGGGAUCCCCGUGAAAGAUGUGCUCAUGUACUGUUUGAAAGGAGCCAUUGCUGUGUUUGUUCCCGUGCUGCUGGCAAUAAUCAGCUGCUGCAUUUACAUCCAGCAGUGGAGGCAUAAAUGCCAUCAAUUUGCUCUGCCACCGGCAUGUUCUUUAUUCCAGCGCUGCUCCGGGAGGAAGGAGAGCACAGGGCAUUUAGCCGUGCUCUCAGCAGCUCACAUCUCUACAGGCACCUCAUGGAAAUGGCGAAAGCCCGCAGUGCUUGGCUUCUGCUGUGGAGGGAAAGGAGCUCUUCAUUGGGGGAGAUGAUGGGACAAAGGGAGAUGGGUUCAAUGGAAAGGAGGGGAGUGCCAGACGGGUGAGAACCACCUGGGGCUACUUCUGCUGUGCCUCUCGUAUCCGAUAUGCAGUGCUGGGUGAAGGAGGCGCAGGGACAUCCAUGGGGGUCGGUACGGGCAGCUCUGGUGCUGUGCUGGGGGAGCAGGAAAGGCCUGCAGGGCAGCAACUCAGGCCUGGCUCCACUGCUGGCCUGGCUUCAGCCUCAGCCUCUGCUUUGCUCCCUGCUGGUCAUGGGAAAGUCAGGGAGCGCUGUGAUGAACAGAGCUGUGUUGUGGUUACUGGGGACAGCUGGGCUCAGUGGCUGUGUGGCAUCGAUGCACCACAGCAGCUCAUCAUGAAGACUUUGCUCUUCAAAUACUGUCAGUGUCUUUGGUCCCCUCUGUUGGACAUUAACCAGGUGAGCACCUGCUGCUGCAUUGGAGGUGCUCAGAGGAUUGUUGGGUUGGGCAGCUUGGUGGAUGUGCAGCUGCCUGGCCUUGUGCAAGGCCUUUAAUGUGGCCCAGCACAUCACCACCCCCCAGGCCCAGCAGUGUCCUACUCCACUAAGUGGUGCAGAAUGAGCCCAGCAGCCCCCAGCCCCACCAGCCACUGCCAUCCUACAGGGGAUGGUAGCAGCCUCCCUGGGGUUGGGGACCACAUCCCCCUCCUGGACAACAGCUUCUACCAUCAGCUGUGAGUGUCCAGCUUUCUAUUGUAAUUACAAAUCAAUCAAUAAAAGCAUUAUUUCUUAAUUGUG